AGUGUCAAUGUAAGAGCAGCAGAGUCCGCGAAGGUGGCUGUUACCAUUCCACAGACCUGCGGCGAGGACUGUCAAUCCGAUUCAGCAAAUAACCCCACCUCUCCAAGCCAGGACUCCAGAGCUGCCCUGUGUGGUGUCUCAGCAAGGAAAGCCAACAAAGCUGGUAGACACAGGCAGACCGUAGCCCACCGCCUGUGAGUGGAGGCUCCGAGCCGACUUCACCUCCUCCUCAGAGGGACCGGCCCGAUCCGAAAGGGCGGUCUCCAGGGGUCCCCAUCCCGCACCACGCACACAGCCUGGCGCAACUAAAGAGGAAGUCGGAUGUCACAUCCAACGGAUAAAUAAAGACAGCCCGGCCACACAAGAGCCGCAUUCUGGGCAGGACUCCUGCUAGGUUUGGGGAGGGGUCCCAGUCUGCGAUCCUUUCUCCCUCUUCGUGCAGCGUCCUCCUCCCCGGGGCCCGGGCCGGCGGCGCCCACGCAACGCGGCGCGGUGCGAGUCCCGAGAGCACCUCGAGCCCCCGGCCCCCUCCCCAGCCCCGCCGGGCCCGCGGCCGCCGCACUCCCGCACGCCGGCUGCCCAGCGCCCACGGGCCCUGCCCCAGACUCGGGCGCGCAGUUCCGACGGCCCAGGGCGGGGACGGCGCGGCGGAGGGGAGCUGCCGCCGCGGGCUCUCGGAGGCACCGGCGGCCGCACACAGUCCUCCCCUUCGCCGCGAGUAAACAGCUCGCGGGCGCGCUCCAGCCGCGCCCCCAUCCCCCCGCCGGGCUCCGCGCCGCCCCGCGCCCGCGCGUCCCGCCCGCCGGCGCCGCCGCCCGCUACCUGGUCGGUGAGUUUGAGCACUGCCAUUCUUCCGCUCCUUCGCGCGCACACACAUGCAGGUCCCCGGCCCGCAGAUGUCACGCCGGGAGCCGGGGAAGCGGAAGGGAUUGCCAGGAGAAGGGAAAAAAUCUGGCUCCCGAAUUUGACAGCCCUCCCCCUGCUCCUCCUCCGCCGCCGCCUCCUCCCGCCGAGAGGCUGACACUGGCUAGUGGGGUUUGCAGCCGAGCCCGCCCGCCUUUCCACAGGAAGUACCGGCUGCUGCCAGCCGGGCCGCCACUGACAUCACCGCGCGCUGGCUCGCUCGCCGCCCGCCGCCUGGGCCGACGCUGCCUCCUGCCGCCCGCAGCCGAGCCGCGCAGCCCGGCCCCCGGCGCUGCCCCCGCGCCCGCACCGGGCCGCCGCCUGCCUUCCGCACCUGCACGCGGCGCCCGGCCGGGCCGGCCCCGGGCCCUGGGCGGAUCGCGGGCCUCCCUGACGGGUCUCACACAUAUGGGUGGGGAAGCCCGCGGGGACACACCCCGAGGGGGCAGGAAAGGCUCUCACUCACAUGCCGUCCACUUUAACCGGGGAGAUGGGGUUACGCCCCCUUCCCCUAACCCAGAAUCAGGUGGUGGCAGCGCCCCGAAGAUCCCAGGGACCGCAAUUAUGAUGCUCCCUUUGUUUAAUGCCAGGAGGCAGCGGACACAUUGUGAUUCUUUACAGGGUGUUUGCCAAACAUUUAUGGGUGGAGGGAACAGAAGCUCUGGCCCUUCCACCUUGUUCUCCAGCCACUUUCCAGCUAAACACACACACACAUAUGCACACACACAUACUAUUGUUAAAUUCAAACACCCUGGGUUUGGUUUUUGCUGGUGGGGGUGGAGUGGAGUUCCUGGAGAAGCAAAGCAGUCCUAAAUCACCGAGUUGAUGGGUCUUUUGGGUGUUCCCACCAGUCCUUACUGAUCUCUACAAAAUCCCAAGUUACCAAGCUCUUCAACAAAUAGAAGACAGCUGUCAAACACCAUGGGCUACAGAUACAACGGGCAUAUUCAGCCAUCUUUCAGAAGAGUGAUAACAAAUGACUUAAUUUGGAAGAUUCACUCAAGAUCCAAUUUGAUUCAUCGCGGACAUGCCUGCACCUAAGUUCCUGGGGCCAAAGUGAGGAGGCAGCAGUUCUCCACCCAAUCAGACCAUCAUCCUCUUUUUGUAACUAGUAUCUUUAACACUCCCCUUACUAUCCUGAAAGGUAAUUUGUGGAUAAUAUUACCUACCAAUACAAAUUUCAAAA
rnacentral:lncRNA from 1 species